UACGGGGGGGGCAAGCGUUGUUCGGAAUUACUGGGCGUAAAGGGCGCGUAGGCGGUCUGCUAAGUUGGAUGUGAAAACUCUGGGCUUAACCCAGAGCCUGCAUUCAAAACUGACAGGCUAGAGUUCUGGAGGGGAUAGCGGAAUUCCUGGUGUAGCGGUGAAAUGCGUAGAUAUCAGGAGGAACACCGGUGGCGAAGGCGGCUCUCUGGGACGGUACGGACGCUGAGACGCGAAAGCGUGGGGAGCGAACAGG
rnacentral:rRNA from 1 species